rnacentral:tRNA from 1 species
GGUUGUAUAGUGUAGUCGGUUAUCACACCAGAUUUUGAUUCUGGUGACCCCGGUUCGAAUCCGGGUACGACCU